rnacentral:rRNA from 1 species
UACGUAGGGUGCGAGCGUUAAUUGGAAUUACUGGGCGUAAAGCGUGCGUAGGCGGUUCGUUAAGUGCGUCGUGAAAGCCCCGGGCUCAACCUGGGAAUGGCGAUGGAAACUGGCGGGCUGGAGUAUGGCAGAGGGGGGUGGAAUUCCGCGUGUAGCAGUGAAAUGCGUAGAGAUGCGGAGGAACACCGAUGGCGAAGGCAGCCCCCUGGGCCAAUACUGACGCUCAGGCACGAAAGCGUGGGGAGCAAACAGG